rnacentral:rRNA from 1 species
GAUGAACGCUGGCGGCGUGCCUAAUACAUGCAAGUCGAGCGAACGGACGAGAAGCUUGCUUCUCUGAUGUUAGCGGCGGACGGGUGAGUAACACGUGGAUAACCUACCUAUAAGACUGGGAUAACUUCGGGAAACCGGAGCUAAUACCGGAUGAUAUUUUGAACCGCAUGGUUCAAAAGUGAAAGACGGUCUUGCUGUCACUUAUAGAUGGAUCCGCGCUGCAUUAGCUAGUUGGUAAGGUAACGGCUUACCAAGGCAACGAUGCAUAGCCGACCUGAGAGAGUGAUCGGCCACACUGGAACUGAGACACAGUCCAGACUCCUACGGUAUGCAGCAGUAUGGAAUCUUGCGCAAUGGGCGAAAGCCUGACGGAGCAACGCCGCGUGAGUGAUGAAGGUCUUCGGAUCGUAAAACUCUGUUAUUAGGGAAGAACAUAUGUGUAAGUAACUGUGCACAUCUUGACGGUACCUAAUCAGAAAGCCACGGCUAACUACGUG